CGCCUCCACCAGCCAGACAUUUCUGGUCAAAGGACAAUUCGCACACCCCUGUGAAUUCUCCACCUUCAAAGAUUUCCAAAAUACAGACUCCUCCCCAACCAAGACAUUUUUGGAGGAGAGAUGCACCAACUGGCUCCUGUUCUCCAGCUAAACAGCUUCCCAAAGAACAAAACCCUCCACAGUCAAGAAAUGUGUGGAAGAUGGCUACACCCAGUGGCUCCUGUCCUCCAGCUAUGAAGCUUCAGCCCUGGGCAGAUGAAGACCCACUGUUUGAGAGUCCAAACAAAGAGAGAGGGACCAUGUGGACGGUGAGGGCAACUCAUAGUCAGAGUGAUGGUCGGUACAACACCUUCUCCAGGAAUCAUCAGUGCACCUGUAUGGCACUGACAUUUUUGGCAUACCACAACGAGGGAUUGCGGUUCAACAGAGACAACCUCGACAAAGUGCUUCAGCAGGGAG